GCACAGGUGGUGAUCUACGUGAAGGAGGUAGAGUAUAAUGGCAUCCAUUUCUCUCGGAAUGCGAGGGAUGUCAGCAUACAGGAGAACGCCACCAAAGGCACAGCUGUAGUCCAAGCUCAGGCCCAACAUCCAGAUGGCACACGGAAGGGUAUCAGCUAGAGUCUGUUCAGUGACAACAGGAA